CCGUAGUCCCCCUUCUCCAAAGAAGGGAGGGAGAGAAGUACAUUUUUAUAUCUUUGUGUUAACUUGCAAAUAUUCACUUCCCUUUUUUUGUUCUCACUGUUUACAUUGUUGUGUAUAUUUUUUAUCUUUAUUUGGCUUGCUUUACUAAGGUAAAUUACUAAUUACUCUUUAUGCCUUAUCUAUAAAUAGGAAUAAGGAUAUUUGUCUGGAUAGGAAAGCGCUUUGUAAAUGUAAAAAUGAUAUGUUAAUGUGAAUUAUUAUCUUCAUCAUCAUCUUAUCCAAUAGCCUUUGUCAAGCCUUUUUUUUCCCCUCAGAAAUCAGGUGCCAUUUGUGGAUGAUGUUUGUUUGUUUGUUUGUUUCUUUAUUUCAGAUUGUAGGACCAGAACUGAGAAGAGUGGAUUCCAAAUCAUGGCAGUUCCUGAAAAAGAAUCAUAUCCAGUGAUGUCCAGAUUCCUAAAAGAUAUCCCACAGGGAUUGGAAUGUCAUGAAUCUUGCAAAAGAGGACUGCGUAUCCUAGCCUGAGUUCCUUGACAUUCAUCCUUUUCUACCUCUAGGCCCAGAGUGGCCUCAAGCUCCCAGAAAGCAAGGUAAUUUAAUGCAGGACAAAAUCUGUUUGUUUUCCUCUGCUUAGCUACUGUUGGUUAAGUAG
rnacentral:lncRNA from 1 species